rnacentral:rRNA from 1 species
ACUUAAAUUGAAGAGUUUGAUCAUGGCUCAGAUUGAACGCUGGCGGCAGGCCUAACACAUGCAAGUCGGACGGUAGCACAGAGGAGCUUGCUCCUCGGGUGACGAGUGGCGGACGGGUGAGUAAUGUCU